rnacentral:rRNA from 1 species
GCCUACGGGGCGCAGCAGUAGGGAAUCUUCCACAAUGGGCGAAAGCCUGAUGGAGCAACGCCGCGUGGGUGAAGAAGGUCUUCGGAUCGUAAAACCCUGUUGUUAGAGAAGAAAGUGCGUGAGAGUAACUGUUCACGUUUCGACGGUAUCUAACCAGAAAGCCACGGCUAACUACGUGCCAGCAGCCGCGGUAAUACGUAGGUGGCAAGCGUUAUCCGGAUUUAUUGGGCGUAAAGAGAACGCAGGCGGUCUUUUAAGUCUGAUGUGAAAACCUUCGGCUUAACCGGAGUAUUGCAUUGGCAACU